AUGUGAAAGGGAAAAAAAAAGUUCCAACAAAGAAAAAACCAGCAGUCAAGAAAUAUUUAAUGAAAACCUUCCAAAAUGAGGAGCAAAACAAUCAAAACACCCAAAGAAAUAAGAUUGUAAUGCCAGGAACUUGCAUGAUGUUUACAUGGAAAGAUAUGAGAUAAAACAAAUAGGGGAAGAGAUUACAGAAUUAAAGAACAUUGGUUUUUUUUUUUCUAAAGAAAAACUCCUGAGGUUGAAAGAAAGUUCCCUGCCGCCAAGCUGAGCUAAAAAAGAGGGUAUACAUCGUAUGACUAAACUAUGACCAAGUGGUUCAACUAGAAGGAUGCAGUUUUACUGAACAUGACUAUUAUAUACAUGCUUAACAGUAGACACUAGAAAGCUAACCCAUACACUAUCUGAAAAGGGGAGAAUGUGAGAUCAUCUCUUAGUACACUAGCAAAGAUAUGAUGUUGAUAAUUGAAACAAUAUAUGGUUUUACUGUUGUCAAACAAAUAUAACCAGUAAAUUAGCAACGAUCAAACCAGGUUUCUGAUUCUUAGCAUGUAUCCAACAAGGAAAGCUCUAACGAACAUAUUUAGAAAGGAUCUGGUACCCAUAUAGAAAUAAAAUUUGAACAAUCACAAUGCAACCCUGCUUGGAAAAGAAAUUCAACUUUUUUUAACUAUGAGAAAUCAACUAAUAGUCUGGCUGUUUCAUUUGCAAAUAAAUAUUUUCCUUAUCAAAAUCACAAAAACAGAAGUGAUUUUCAGACUUCAAAUGUGAAAUUUUGAGCAUAUGUUUUAACAACAACUCUUAAAGACUAGCUUCAAAAUGAAAUAUUAAUAUUAUCAACUUACUUGUGAACCAGUUUACUGUAGGUAUAUCAACAACCCAUACGAAAAGAUGGUGGAUCACUAAUGUUUUAUACUAAAUAAUUGCAUUUAAAAGCAUUUUGCCUAAAUCAACAUUAAGUAUCACCAAGGCCAUAAUUAUACUGCUUCAGAUAAUGCCAAAAAAAAAGGCUGGGUCCCAAUAUCAAUCCUUCUUAAAUAAUAAUAAAUAAAUAAAUAACCUAAAAUAAAAACACUAGACCCCAAUAUUAAUCCAUCAUGAAAAACAAAACCUUAAAAAAAAUUCACCCCAGGAAAUAAGCUAGCAGGAGAUGAUGAAAACCAACACUUUAUGUCAAGUCAGCUACAAGCAACACUUCAAAAGUUCAAAUGCAUCGAGUAAAAGUAAAAAGCAGAAAAGCAUAAACUGGCAGAGGAAGGGUACAAGGAGGAGAAAAUCAUGUUUAGAAAAGAUUUACACUUUUACAGGCACCAAAUUAGUAGAUUUUUUCUCAUUCCUGAAUCUUAGGCAAGCAAUCUUUUAAUUAUGAUUUGUGACAACAAGAAAGGUCGUGUAAAACUCCAGAAAGAAGGAAAAAAGUUUUAAAAAAAAACAUGAUUAAUUUU